rnacentral:rRNA from 1 species
AGACAGCACCGCCGCGGGAAUACAGAGGGUGCGAGCGUUAAUCGGAUUUACUGGGCGUAAAGCGUGCGUAGGCGGCUUUUUAAGUCGGAUGUGAAAUCCCUGAGCUUAACUUAGGAAUUGCAUUCGAUACUGGGAAGCUAGAGUAUGGGAGAGGAUGGUAGAAUUCCAGGUGUAGCGGUGAAAUGCGUAGAGAUCUGGAGGAAUACCGAUGGCGAAGGCAGCCAUCUGGCCUAAUACUGACGCUGAGGUACGAAAGCAUGGGGAGCAAACAGGAUUAGAUACCCCUGUAGUCCCUGUCUCUUAUACA